UCCAUUUCGCACACAUCACAAAAAUUGUCGGCAACUUCUACCAUACCCUGUACUGCCGUACAGCUAGCCUACAGCCUGUAUACAGGAGCGUUGUGGAUUUUGCUGUUGUCUACACUAGUUGAUCCAAUUAAAGAGCGUGGAAUGGAGGAGGGUAGUGGAGGUGGAACUGAGAACCUAGCCCAAGGAGAUACCGAUCAGCCUGCAAGUUGGUUGGAAAAACAGCAGAGAGAAGCUGCUUCUUUUUCUAUGGAAGACUGUCCAGAGUGUCGAUAUGUGGGAGGCAUAGGCUUGUAUGUAACAGCAUUGUAUGUGGGAUAUACAAGUCUAAAAAGGCAGAAACUCAGAGGGGCAAAAUCAAUAUGGGGCGCUGUACCAGCUCUUACUGUAUCUGGUUUAAUGAUUGGUCUCGGAACUGCACGCUUUCUUGGCAUCAACCCCUUCAGCAACAGUGGAAAUGAGUUAGGGAUAGACAUAGUUGACCGGGCUCUUAAAAACCUCACACAGCCAUCAGACGAUGGAAACACAAAGGACAAUGUAGAGAGAUGAUAAAAAGCAUGGAUAAAUGGAUUUCAGAGAC